GUGGACCACAGCAGACGAGGCAACCGUAAUUUUCAAUAAUGGCCACGCAUAUUUCGAUAUCAGGCGUGUGUGUAAUGUCCCAUGGAGAAUUUUACCAAUUUGGUUUCCAAAUCUUGGGCAUGAAGCAGCCUUGAACAUGUUACACAAACUUAUGUAAAAGAAAUUAAACAACAGACUACAGGAGCUCAAACGAGGCUAUUUAAAGAUGAAUGAAGAAAGGAUGGAAGCUUGCACAGGUUGUUUACAUCUUAUAAUAAGUUAUACUCAUUUUCUCAGCUUAGUUACCUGUACCCAAACAACCUCAAAACAAAUAAAUAAUUACACAUCUAUCAUUAAAAGAAUAUUUGGAGAUGGUUUCGGGGAUCAACGCCCCCGCAGCCCGGUCUGUGACCUGUCCUCGUGGUGGAUCAGGGCCUGAUCAACCACGCUGUUACUGAUGGCCGCACUCAAACCGACGUACGAACCACAGUCCGAGCAAUUGCAGUUGAUGGUUGCCGCUUUGCACUGAUAAUAAAACAAGCGGUUAUAAGUUCGGUGGUGACACUAAAUUACAAAAACAGCAAGAAAAUUCAUCGACAUACUGCAGACUACGAGCCGAUAUCUGACUCACUGUGUGUACUUAACUGGACCCGCCUCUUCACUGGCCGCUCUCUCCCUGCUGUAAGAGCUUUGUCGUACCUAUCCUUAAAGCUAUGAAUGGAUACUUCCUCCACUACAUCACUCGCAGAUUGUUUCACUUCCUGACAACUUUAGUGCUGAAGAAAUAUUUCCUAAUAUCCCUGUGACUCAUCUGAGUUUUCAGUUUUCAGUUGUGACUUCUUGUUGCUGUGUCACAUCUCUUGACAUCCUGUCCCUUUCCACCUUGUAAAUUCCUCUCAGUAUUUUAUACGUCGUUAUCAUGUUUCCCCCUAACCCUACUUUCUUCCAGUGUCGUCAGACUGGGUUCCCUAACCUCUCCUCGUAGGAUAUAACUCUUAGCUCCGGGACUAGUCUUGUUGCAAACCAUUGUGCACUCUAUUUUUUUGACAUGUAUGUGUGUAUGUGUGUGUGUGAAACAGAGUGCGAGAAGGUAGUGUAUAAAACAACGUGUGGGUUCCAACACACACGCUACAAGGACACCAUGAAGCUCGAGGUGAUGAUGGUGGUGGCAGCGGCGGCGUGUACGACAACAGUGACCAUAAAUACAGCUCCUGGACCCAUACAUAGCUUCAAAUUCUCCCAGAGUUUGUGGCAUCACCCACUGCAGUAUACACGAGGUAAAUAUUGUGUGUGUGUGUGUGUGUGUCUGUG